GGGUAGUUGAAGUCCUCAAAGGAGACUAUAUAAUUACAAUAGAGCUCCUUCUCCUGCUUGAGAUAUCCACCUACAUGGAUAUAGGUAUAUAGGUUUAUAACCUGUUACCAGAGACUUCCAAAUGAAAGGCCAGUCUCUUUUCUGCAUUACAGAUAAGCCAAAUGGCAUUAUGAAUAGUUCCCUUAAAUCAAAGAUUAUAACACUGAAUGUAUUAUGCUUCUCCACAUGCAGCCUGUUUCUCCUCCCUAAGCCCCUAUCUUGGUUAACGGCACCAUUAUCCAGGCUAUCAGAAAUCUGGAUGUUGAGCUAUCCUAGUGCCCUAAAUAUGAUCCUUGUUCUACCAAAUUUACUUCCUGAACAUUUCACGAGUGGAUACCUCAUUCUGCCCCCACGAUCUCCUACUGCUACUCGUUGAUUCCAGUUCUCAUAAUUGUUCGUGGAACAUUGCAAUAACCUAUCAAGUUGUCUUCUUGGCUCCAGUUUUACCUAUACUCCAAAACCAAUUAGAAAAUAAAAUUAUCUUUAUAAAACCUAAGUAUUGUUUUUAUUUUUCUCUUUAGCAAAUGCUGCAAAGACUCUCUAUUACUCAGGUUACAAAUCAUAUUCUUUUCUGUGGUGAGGUGCCGUCUGUGUUUUGGUCUAUCUAUCUAAUUUCAACGCUCUUCUGCUUUCUGCUCCAACUAUAUUGACCUAAUCACAGCUCCUCAAACACUCUAUGCUGUUUUGAAGCUGGUUACUUUCUUUCUCUAUAAUGCUCUUUCUUCUAUUCUGAAGAAUGCCCAUUCAUCUUUAAGAACAAGCUCAAUUGACACCCUUAUCUGAGUAACAUUUUCUAACCUCACCUGAUAGGUCUGAUCACUCCUCUUAUGUAUCUUUUGCCAUGUGUAGUUUCCAUUAUACAUUAUUGCAUUUACAUUCCUGUGGAACAUAAAUUUGUACUGCAAAUUCCAAUAGAAUAGAGACCUAGUUAUUUUAGUCCUGUACCAGGUGCAGAUAGCAAACAUAUAAUAAAUAUUUAUCAACUUCUGCAUAAAAGAAUGCUGAUGUCUGAGGAGACCCUUUUUUUAAAAAAAACAAAAAAAGUUUUAUUUGUGUCCUUAAUAUAACACUUUUAGGAAAGAGCUAGUAAUAGGGAGAGAUUUCAGAAGUUUAAUGAAUAAGAUAGUAAAGAAUCAGUUUCAGUAAAUGAAAUAUAUAUUAUGAUGAAAUACAUAUACACACACAUAUAUGUGUGUAUAUAUAAUGGAAUCUUAAAAAGAAUCUCAGAGUCCUAAAGAGACCUUAGAAGACCUAAAGAAGUAUAUGGAAAAUUGGAAAGAAACCAGUGCAAAAAUGCAGACUUAAGUUUAAAAAAGUGUGAGACAACAAAGAAUUAAGAUGAAAACAGAAUUUUGUGUUACACAUUUUUGUAUCUUUAGUGCUGUGCACAUAGAAUCAUUCAAUAUAUUUACAUAGAGUUAGAGGAAAGGGAUAUGAGGAAAAGAAGAAAGGAUGAAAAAGACACAGAAGGGAUGCUAAAAGUAAAUAAAUUGAGGAAAUUUAUAUUUAAAACAAAAUGAACAAUUAGGUUCAGCUUAUCUCCAACUUUUCCAUGAUAUUAUCAACUUAAGUUUCUAUUCAUCCUUAACUUUUAGCAUGCUUACCAUCUGUAAUCAGAUUGUGAGACUACUUUGAGGCCAGUUUAUAGAGGUUUUUAAAUACCGUGAUGAGCACUUUGACUUUUAGAUCUCUUAUGCAAGGGGAUGCUCUUCCUAUUUCCUUAAAAUAAAUGCCCUUUGGGAAGUGAUGCUUAUUUGGAUUAAGUUUACCUGACUACAAGAGGUAAGAAAGUCUCCAAGAAGUGCAAUUAAGAAGGGGUAAUACAAGCAUGCAAGCAUAAAUAACAGUAUAGGGAUUAAUGUAUCAAUUAGAACAAAAAAGAUCACUGAUGUGAAGUAUAUAAGAGAAAAAAAUAGAAAUUUAAAAUCAGUUAACUUGUGGGCUAGAAAAGAGGCAUGAGUCAAGUUUGGGAGAACGACUUUUUUUCAUUCUUUGUUGUACCCUCCCUCUGAUGCCCUUUAUAAGGUAUCAUAGUGCCUAUGAAAGGAUUUUUAGUCUACAGAACUAUUCAGAGAAGGCAGGCCUGCUUGGAAAUUUUAAACCGUCUUUUAACGUAGCUGAAAUGUCAUGGGAGGCUACCACACCUUCCAUGCUGACAAUGCCUUAGGCCAGUCAUGCUGACAGGGCAGUGCAGAGACAAUGUGAAUUGCGCUCUGGGUUUGAAAGUAAGUGCCUAGGUACAAGAGUUCAGUGAUUUUACUAUGUGACAGUCACUGAACCACUUAUUUUCAUUAUGAAGGAAAUUAAACAUCUACCCUCAGCAUAAAACACUGGAAUUGAGUGAAUAUAGCUUUAUAACAUUUCUGUAUUUAUUUAUUUUUUGCAUUUGUCCUUUUCUAGCUAUGAAUUUCUGAUUUUGAGUAUCACAGACCCUCUUUCCUUUCAUACCUUCAUGCCUCAUUGACAUUAAGGCAAAAAAAAAAAAA